CCUACGGGUGGCAGCAGUGGGGAAUAUUGCACAAUGGGGGAAACCCUGAUGCAGCGACGCCGCGUGAGUGAAGAAGGAAUUCGUUACGUAAAGCUCUAUCAGCAGGGAAGAAACACUGACCUUACGGUCAGCAGACGGUACCGGAGGAAGAAGCCCCGGCUAACGACGUGCCAGCAGCCGCGGUAAUACGUAGGGGGAAAGCGUUAUCCGGAUUUAAUGGGUGUAAAGGGAGCGUAGACGGUGCGCCAAGUCUGGAGUGAAAUGCCGCAGCUUAACUGCGGAACUGCUUUGGAAACUGGCGACCUAGCGUGCCGUCGUGGUAAGCGGUAUUCCUAGUGUAGCGGUGACAUGCUUAGAUAUUAGGAGGAACCCCGGUGGCGCAGGCGGCUUACUGGACCGUAACUGACGUUGCGGCUC
rnacentral:rRNA from 1 species